UGGAAACAAAGUGAUCCCUCGGAAGCAUUAAUCACAACAAAAUUACAUAAGAAUUGCAGACUCGGUUUGAUUGAGUCUGUACAUGAGGAAUAAUGAAUAAGUGCAACAUCCCUCACGCCCCCUAGCACCGGCUUGAGCGGUACUCAAUUCUCAACACUUAAUAGGGCUGGCAUCAAUGAUCCCGAAGGACCAGAAAAUAUAACAACACUGAAGUGAAGUACGGGGCAACUUUUUACGGCUGCCACACAGCACUUGACACAGCCAUUCUGUCACCAAUAAACGUGGUUAGUUUAUAAAAUAGCUAACUUUAUACGUUUGACCGUGUGCUGCAUUUUGAUAUUCUUGUAGUUAUAUUUAAAAGGAACAUCCAAAAAUAACAUUGAUGUUGGGAAUUUGAAAACUUGUCUUUGCUAUAAAAUUCCUUAAUCAGAACAUAAGAUCAAGGCUUAUAAGCUCAAAGACAAUGACAUUUAAAAUGAAUUUCCAGAGUAAUCUUAUUUCUGGAUGUUUGAGCAUAUAUAGUUACGAAGAUAUUCAAGAAUGAAUGACUUGUUUGUGUUUUAAUUGCAUGUAAUUUGUGUUUCCCUACCAGAAAGAGCGUCGUUUGGAGGAUGCUGAACGAGAAAACACACGGCUACUCGCGGAAGUAGAUCAUUGUGAAAGUAUGUUUAAAUAUUUAUCAAAUGAUUUCUCAUUUAUUUCGGUAUCUUAAUGUCUAUUUAAAAAGAAUGUUCUAAGAUAUAUCUUAAGACUAGAACUGCAUUAGAUGCAAGAUUGAACUGAUUUCAAAUUCAAUAUACAAACUGAAUUUGUAACGUCCGAUUAGCAAAAGCAAACCCCAUUCUUUUUCAUAAGAAAAAAUAUGUGCGUGUGUUACAUGAUUAAAAUCACAUGAUCAUAUGCUUGAAUCAUGCAGAGAGAUGUGAUAAAGUACGUGAAGACAUUAGAAUUGUGGAAAAUGAGCUUGACUUUGCCUUACUCGCUGUAGAAGGUUUCUAAAGUAUGUCUGGCAUCACCACACUGUUGGAACAAAUGGUUUUACAUAAGGGAUGGUCACCAAUUUCACUUUUGAGGAGUAAUUUCUCUACAAGGACUUUAUAGUGCUUGUGAUGUCUUGUGAUCCAAAUCACAAGGGUUAAAAGAUAUUUUUGUUCGCAUUACAUCACGAUAAGUAAUUGAGUGUAUUGAAAUGAUUGAGACUAAAAUUAUAUAUAAAAUACUUGAUAGAUGAUAUCUCGUUAGUAGCUCCUCAAAAGAUUGCACCGUGUGUGCGUGCGACUGUAUGCAGGAGUAUUGUUUUGAUGCAUUCGAUUUUAAUGUUGUUACAUAUCAGUAAAGUGCAGUGUGGGUAGUGUUUUCUUACUAUGCAUGGCGCUAUUUCAGGGAAAUACGACUAAUUGAUGGAAAGUCAUGAGCAAAUAAAAAUGGAAUUGGAGAACACAUUUGCUGAUCUUGAUAAUAUGUGAGCAUGUACCCAUUCCAUUAUUUCAUCAUUUUAUAUUUAAAGAUGAAUUACUUGCUGAAAAGGAGAAGUACAAGGCGAUUAGUGACGAAUUGGAUCAAACAUUUGCUGAGUUAGCUGGCAUGUGAGAACAUCAACUUUUGUCAGACAACAAGAAAAAUACACUUCAUUUACAUUUCUACAAAGCCCUGUUUCGCUGUUAUUGAUGAUGGAAAAAAAAAACAUUCUAUGCAAAAUGUUAACUUUCGGACAAAAGCUGAAGUGAUUUUUUAAUGGAAUAUGAAAAGUUUAUUUAUAAGUUUCAGACUUUAAUAAUGUUAUUUGUAUAUUUUUAAGGACAGAUGUAGAGUAAUUGAUACAUGCUUUACGGCUUAUAUAGUAUUGUAAAUUUAUGUGUAUCUGUGUGUUUUCCGCAAUAUCACAGGAAAGAAUUAUAAGCAACAGUGGUCUUUCUUUCAUUUACUGUUUUUUAUUUAAGGCUCUUCGUGUUGCUAUGUUACUGUUAGGUCUAAGUGGGUGUUCUUUUUUUCUUUCAUAUGCACAGAGAAUUCAGCAAAUGGAUUUUAAAUAGUCGCUAUAUUUACUAAAUGAUACAAUGUAUUAACAGACAUAUAACUUUGAACAAAUAUUUUUUUUAUUACGGAAAACGUCUCCUGCCUUAACCACAAACAUUGUAUGUAUGUAUGUAUGUAUGUAUGUAUGUAUGUAUGUAUGUAUGUAUGUAUGUAAUUAAAAGAUUGACUAUAUUCAGCCAAAUCUUUUUGGGGUUACUUGCUUCUGACAUACACCAGGUUUCAUUUUGCGGAAACUUUCGGUUUUAACUGCAGCAGCUGCCGGUUUACUGAGAACAUCUUGUUGUGGAAACUGUCGGUACUGCACCGCUCCUUACGCACGUGUCCUUUUAUAUUGACUUUGUCUUUACGCCAUAUGUGAAUAGAUGUCAAGUCAUAUUGAAGGCUUUAUAGGGAUAUGUGUUAAAAGGGUUUCGAAUGAUAAGUAGCCUCAAUAAAUUUUGGCUAUGUUAAUGAGAAUGUGGGAGCCAUUUGGGUUAACAAUGUUGAAGUGUGUCGAGCCUGAGUGGCAAAAGAUAUUGUUAUAAUAAGGUCCGCAGUGGACUUACUAAAAUUAUCUGAAGCGUAUUUAACAUCAAGCUUGAUAAUAAAAAAAGAAACACGCAUCAUUUACCAUCAUGAUACACUGAACCAUCUGUAUAUUGAAGAGAAAAUAAAUAUGGCAAUAUCCAGCCCCCUUCUGCCAUUCCGCUCAUCACCUUCAACAUCUCCCCAUUCUUAAGGUGUAUGUUCUGUUAUAGAAGUUAUUUUGAUCAUUUUUUCGUGUAAAAAAUGACUUGUAGCCCAAAUAUUAAGAUCUUCAUUUAUAUCAUUUACAGAAAUUUAUUUACUGUGUAAAUUGCAAACUAUUUUGUAUUAAAAAUUGGUACCAAUUUUAACUUUUUUUGUGUCAUAGACAAUUGUGUAAUCAUUUUUAUUAUCGGUAAACAGUUUAGUUUACUAAACUUGUUCGGAGAUGUUCGGUGUAUAGGGAGAUGUUGUAUAUUAUGUCUUCGGAACUUACGUAGAUAGCUUGGCCUUCACUGCAUUCUUCCUGGAUAUUGCCAACUUUGAUUUUUAACCUUCAAUAAAAAAAAUCAUAUUGUUA